UCCAACCUGGAGAGAGAGAGAGAGAGAGAGAGAGAGGAGAGACAUACUGCCCAGCCUCCGUCACGAAAUAGACGAGUCGAGGACCCCAGCCCCAUCGCUGGUCAAGCUCUGAGCUCUGAUCGUGGGACACGUAUGCAGUAGCAACAGGCUUGCCUUGGGACUGUUCGAGACGGCUUAUGCGGAUGGUGGACACUGGGUGGCAAGUCCAGAAGUCACUUGUCAGUUGACGUCUGACAAAGGGCAAUUCAGUGGACAGAGUACUGUCUUUUCAGCAAAUGCAGUUGGAACAGUCAGAUGUCGGUACGACAAAAAAAACGAACUUCGGCCCAGUCCUCACACCUCCUACCCAAGUGACCUCUGAAUGGAUUCUAAAUCUAAAUGUCAAACCACAAAGCUGCUGGCAGAAAACUCGAGGCAGUCUUCAUGACGACCAGGCUGGGCGAAUGGUUCACGUGCGUCUCAGCAAAAGCACCAUGCAUAAAAUAUUUUUUUAAAAAGACAGAUAGGACUUAAAUGAGAAUUAAAAGUUGUCACCCUGUACAAGACCAUGUUAGGAGAAUGGAAGGACAGGAGACAGGUCUGGAGAGAAGAUUUGCACGUUGCAAGGGCUUGUUUUUGGAAGGUAUAAAGAACUCUCAAAACUUAACAGCAAGAAAACAGUCCUGCUGUUUUAAGUGGGCAAAAGACUUAAGUAGACGCAUGGUACUCCGAUGGCAGACAAGCGCGUGGAAAGAUGCGCGGCCCCACCAGCCACUAGAGACCCGCAAGUGACGAUGAGAUGUGACCACACGCGCACUAGAACGGCUGAAGUGCAGACGAUACUGACAAUGCCAGGUGCUGGUUGGCUCCUUACGUGACUGGUAGGGAGGAAAACGGCAGAGAGACACAGAGCAUAAGUGGGGAAGGGGCAGAGACAGGGGAGACACAGAAUCCGAAGCAGGCUCCAGGCUCCGAGCUGUCAGCACAGAGCCCAACACGGGGUUCGAACUCACGAACCACAAGAUCAUGACCUGAGCCAAAGUCGGACGCUCAACCGACUGAGCCCCCCGGACGCCCCUACACUUACUAAAUUUUAAAAUUCUCUUCCCCGUGGUAUAGGUCUUCCAAAGAAGAAACUCAUUUCUGUGUUCCUUUUACUCUCACAUCACCACAUCACAACUUCGCUUCCCACACCAGAUGUGUGGGUUGUUGUGAAUCACAGAAGGUGCCCAUUUCACUUAGAUCACACUGAAUCUAGUUCAGGAAGUGAGGACAAAGACCAAAUAUAACAGAAGAUGCUCCCAUUGCUCUUACGCUUUGGAGAUUCCAGGGGUUUGGGGAGCUGCAGGCCAGAAACUGGGACACAGAUCAAAUACAUAUUUAUUAUAUAUCACA